rnacentral:rRNA from 1 species
AUCUAUGGCCAUACCACCCUGAAUGUGCCCGAUCUCAUCUGAUCUCGUGAAGCUAAGCAGCAUCAGGCCUGGUUAGUAUUUGGUUGGGAGACACGAGAUCUCUUUAUU